rnacentral:tRNA from 1 species
GCCUUCGUGGCUAAAUGGUAAAGCGUCCCACUCGUAACGAAAAAGUUUCAAUGGGAAGAUCCUCGGUUCGAUUCCGAGCGAGGGCA